UACGAAGGGGGCUAGCGUUGCUCGGAAUGACUGGGCGUAAAGGGCGCGUAGGCGGAUGGCACAGUCAGAUGUGAAAUUCCCGGGCUUAACCUGGGGGCUGCAUUUGAUACGUGUUGUCUUGAGUUCGGAAGAGGGUCGUGGAAUUCCCAGUGUAGAGGUGAAAUUCGUAGAUAUUGGGAAGAACACCGGUGGCGAAGGCGGCUCACUGGCCCGUUUCUGACGCUCAGGCGCGACAGCGUGGGGAUCAAACAGG
rnacentral:rRNA from 1 species